GCACUCAUGGCGCAGUGGCUAGCGCAGCCGACUGUCGAUCUGGCGGCGGGGGUUCAAUCCCCGCGGCAGCG